UACGGAGGGGGCUAGCGUUGUUCGGAAUUACUGGGCGUAAAGCGCACGUAGGCGGCUUUGUAAGUUAGAGGUGAAAGCCUGGAGCUCAACUCCAGAAUUGCCUUUAAGACUGCCGAGCUAGCAGGUGAGAGAGGUGAGUGGAAUUCCGAGUGUAGAGGUGAAAUUCGUAGAUAUUCGGAAGAACACCAGUGGCGAAGGCGGCUCACUGGCUCAUACUGGACGCUGAGGUGCGAAAGCGUGGGGAGCAAACAGG
rnacentral:rRNA from 1 species